AUGGCGGCGGCGGCGGCGCUGGAAGCCUGGCAGGCGGCGUCUCGUCGGAGAAGGGGCUCGGCGGCGAUGCGUCCGCGGCGUAGGGAGGCGGCGGCGGCGGCGGCGGCGGCGGCCUGGGCCCCGGGAGCCCAGCCCGAGGUGGACGGCGGAGUCGUGCUUCGUCGCAUCCAGGAAGCCAGGGAGGACCUGCUUCUCUCUGAUUUCUGGAGUUCAGCACUAGAAACCGUCAACAGGUGUCUUAGGAAACAUCUGGAACAGCUGAAGGCCCCUGUGGGGCCUCUUUCAGAAGCCAUUGGAAGCCUGCAUCUCGACUCAUCACCAGGUGAGUCAGAUGUGGCCCCUGGCUCCGUCCCAGAAGAGACCCCAGUCACAGGAUCCUGCCGUUUGAAGUGUGUGUGUUACGGCGUUGGGAACUUCGCCACCUGCGUCAUAGCUAGAAACCAGCUCGCGUUUUUGCUUCUCUUUCUGGAAAAGUGCCAGAUACCCAGAAGUCACUGCUGGGUGUAUGACCCUCUGUUUAGCCAGCUGGAAAUUGCGGUUCUUAGCACCCUUGGUGUGGUUGUUCUCAGUGAGAACGAGGAAGGAAAACGGAGUGUGUACGGCGAGCCCACCGUCUUUUACAUGCUCCACUGUGGGACAGCGCUCUACAACAACCUUCUGUGGAGGAACUGGUCCAUAGAUGCCCUUUCCAAGAUGGUCAUCGUUGGGAACAGUUUCAGAGGACUCGAGGAAAGGUUGUUGACAAGGAUUCUGCAGAAACAUUAUCCGUAUGUUGCAAAGAUUGUGAAAGGAGUGGAGGAGCUGGCAUUCCCUCAGACCUCACAGUACACAGACGUAUUUAAUGACACCUCCGUCCACUGGUUUCCUGUACAAAAGCUAACACAACUCUCCACGGACACUUGGGCCUUUCGGGAAGAACCAGAUUACCAGGACUGUGAGGAUCUCGAGAUCAUCAGGAACAAGACGGAGGCUCCUUCAGCCCGACUGACUUGAACCCGCUGUGAUGUGUCGGCAGAGGCGGUCGCCAUGGAGGGACUGCAGUGAGUCCCCUUUCAGAGCAAGCAGGAAGUACAUCGGCUAUGAUUUAAAAUACUGUUUGUUUAUUCACAAGUCCGUCCGUGGCAGGUGCCGCGGUCUACUUGGCCAUGUCAAUCAGGCUCUGCAGGGAGGUGGGCACCCAGGUCUUCUCCCCCUGCACGAACACCACGCCCCGAUCGAUGUAGAUGACGAUGCGGCCGAAGGUGUACAGCUGCUUCCCUUCGUGUCGCUUCCCGAUGACGGGCAUGAAGACGAUGUUGUGCUCCUCGGCCUUGGUCUCAAUGAGGUCUUUAAAGUUCAUGGGCACGGAGCUGGCAGCCACACCGAUGCCUCUCUGGGCCAUGUUCUCAGCCUCCCGUCGCUCCUGCAUGGCCUCGUACUGGAAAUCCUUCCUGCGCUCCGUGUGGGUGAGAAGCCACAAAGGCAACCAAGGAAAUGAGCUAACUUCAACGUCUGAAGACGACUGAGGAAACGAGAACGUGGCUGUGCUGAAACAGAAGCUUCGCCAUCACCUGAGGUGAGAGUGUAAUCUCUGAACCACCUGUAUUAGAAAUACCUGGGGGAAAAUAACUGAGCAUGAGCCCUCAGGCCCCGUCUAGAUCUACAGCCUCAAAAUCUCCAGCCGUGACCUGGACAUCUGCGCUUCUCACCAGGUCCCCAAGUAACCUGAUACACAACACCCUGACCUUUGAGAACCCCACUCGACUUUCUGUAAUACACACACACUGUAUCUCCUACGCUAUGUCCCCUACAACAGACAUCUGUCACCAAUGUUCUCUGGCCACUAGGGACAGUAAUGGACAGUAAUGGAAAAGCCUCAGAGACUAUCUGUACCGAACAGUGGUAAUCAUCUUAACUGCAAUGCUGGGAUGCCCUGAGGGCCCACUCCUGCUCGAGAAGUGAGUUAGUGCAACCUUCCCACGAUUUAAGAGCCUUAAAGACUUUAACCUGGUGACUGCACUUCUAGGAAUCUAUCCUUAACAGCUGUAAAACAAAGACAAGCCUUUAACAGCUGUAAAACAAAGACAAGCCUUUAUACACAAACUAACCUGCCCCAAACCAAACCAGAAAUGUUAAAGGUCUAGCGACAGAAUGACAGGAACAUCAUUAAAUUCACUGACAGCAAGCUCCAGAAAGCUGGGGACAUGGUUCGAUUUAGCACUCUCAUGCCACAAGGAGCCCCUGGCACAGGGCUGGGACGGUGAUGAGCCUGAGCGUGCGUGCAGGGAGCGGGCACGGGCUGCGCCACGCCACAGACGCAGCACGCACAGAGCCAGGAUGCAAGGCCAGCGGGAACCUUACGCGCAAAUGUUCGGUGACUGCUCUGGUGUGCGGGUAACUGUGUCUUCCAAGCCCCCAUCCUGGACCAGGCGUCCACGGGCCCCGUACCUUGACCUGAGAAAGCUCCUUCUGGGGAGCAGUGAGCUUCUUGCUAAUCCUGCCCUUGGCUUUCAACUCUUCCACUGUCUUGUAAGAGUAUUUGGGCUUCUUCUUGCUUCCGCUGGGGUCUUUCCUCCACUGGCUCAGCUCCUUCUGAAAUUCCUGAAUCAGAGGGAUACAGUCCAUCACAAGAAGGAAGGGCCACUUUUUACCACAGCUGGGGUCACUGAGAAGGUUCUGUGCCAAGGACCGUGCUGUGUAACACUGAACCCAGCCAAGGACACUGCUUGACACCCGCUCCCCGCCCUUACCAAUGCUGAGACCCCCUUCCCCACACACCCACCCUUAUGUCCU